CGUGUUUUUAGGAAAGGAGGAAGGUGGCAAUGAAGCGCGCUGGCGUCUCCCUCAUUGAUGAGCAUCACCCAAACAGCCCCCGCUUCGUCAUUCCAGGAGAUGGCAACAUUCACCCCACCCUCCCCAUCCUCCUCAUUGCUUUCCAAUAUAUUUCUCCCUCUGCAAAGGCAAAUGAAACCGAAGGAGGUCUGCUGUUGUUCUUGGUGCCAGAUUCCUCUCCAAUGUGGACAAGGCUCACUGUGGGAUUAUCUCAUGAUUGCCCAAAACAAUCAAACCCAGGCUGUGGGGGCUGCAUACUGAAGUGGGGCUGCACUGAUCAUCAUCAUCAUUAUAACCUUGAAAGACCUUCACCGGCAGAGAGAAGAGAGUCGAGAGGGCCUCCGAGUUAUAGGUGUGCCGAUAGCGCCCCCUGUUGAUUCUCCGGCAAACAAACCAAGAAUCCACGCAGACGGAGGCUCUAUUCUGCAGGAAAGGCUCAUAAUGAUCAC
ensembl:lncRNA